AUGGAUUCAAUUUUCGGGUCCUAUAAAAUCCUAAUUUUCACCAAACUUGAAACCCUAAUUCACUUUCUCUCUCCUCCUGUGUGCUCUCUCUCUCUCUCUCCCCCAAGAUCUCUCUACUCUCUCUCUCUCUCCUCAGGAUAUCAUUUGUGCCGACAAGGUUGAAGCAUGGGACGACGGCGACGAAGGAUGGUGACGGCGGCGAUGACGACGAAGGAUGGUGAUCUCGGCGGUCGUCAAACUACCGGAAACUAAUCCCAAUCUCGCAGAUGUGGAUGCAACGACGGAUGCGCUAAGAGUGGUGGUUGUGGCUGGUUCCCGACGCCGAGUAUUUCAUUCGAUUCACCGUCGAUGAGAGGGAGGAAGGAGAAUUUGGUGCUACCGCGCGUUGGUGUUGGUUUUGUUGAACCUUCGGUGGUGGCGGAUGGUUGUGAGUUGUUGUUGGUGUUGUGGCGAGAUGUCGAGUAGAGUAACUGGUGCUUACUGCUCCAGUUCAUGCUUUACAAGCCUCUAAUAUGAUUUUGGAUUUGUAUUGUAAAUGUAAACUAAUUUUGUUUUGUGUUAUUUAUUUUAGUAAUGUUUAAAUUAGUUAUAGUUAAGAAUUAUUCUAUUUUAGUUAUACUUUUGGUAUAUUUAAUUAUGAAAUAAAAUGAUUUAGUUACAUUGUUUUUUCA